UGUGGGAAAUCGGGAACCUGUCGUAAUCAGGGUUGUAGCUACCUGUGCCAUUGUCCCAAUGGAUUUAGGAACUCUGGCGACAGACAAACUCCGUGUGUAGAGAAAGACAAGUGUGUUGAGAUCCCAAAUAUUUGUGGGAAAUGGGGAACCUGUCUUAAUCAGGAGGGUAGCUACCUGUGCCAGUGUCCCAAUGGAUUUAGGAACACUGGCGACGGACAAACUUUGUGUGUAGACAUUGACGAGUGUAAUACAGACGGAGUAUGUGGAAAGGGGGGCAUCUGUCAAAACCUGAAUGGCAGUUACUGGUGCCAGUGUCCUGCUGGAUUUACUAACUUUGGCAAAAACCAAACGAAGUGUGUAGAGCUUAAUUGUGACCAGUA